CAGGCCUAACACAUGCAAGUCGAGCGAACUGAUUAGAAGCUUGCUUCUAUGACGUUAGCGGCGGACGGGUGAGUAACACGUGGGCAACCUGCCUGUAAGACUGGGAUAACUUCGGGAAACCGAAGCUAAUACCGGAUAGGAUCUUCUCCUUCAUGGGAGAUGAUUGAAAGAUGGUUUCGGCUAUCACUUACAGAUGGGCCCGCGGUGCAUUAGCUAGUUGGUGAGGUAACGGCUCACCAAGGCAACGAUGCAUAGCCGACCUGAGAGGGUGAUCGGCCACACUGGGACUGAGACACGGCCCAGACUCCUACGGGAGGCAGCAGUAGGGAAUCUUCCGCAAUGGACGAAAGUCUGACGCCAGCAACGCCGCGUGAGUGAUGAAGGCUUUCGGGUCGUAAAACUCUGUUGUUAGGGAAGAACA
rnacentral:rRNA from 1 species